GACGAACGCUGGCGGCGUGCUUAACACAUGCAAGUCGAACGAUGAAGCCCAGCUUGCUGGGUGGAUUAGUGGCGAACGGGUGAGUAACACGUGAGUAACCUGCCCUGGACUCUGGGAUAACGCCGAGCAAUCGGAGCUAAUACCGGAUAGGACCUUUCCUCGCAUGAGGUUUGGUGGAAAGUUUUUCGGUUUGGGAUGGACUCGCGGCCCAUCAGCUUGUUGGUGCGGUAAUGGCUCACGAAGGCGUCGACGGGUAGCCGGCCUGAGAGGGUGACCGGCCACACUGGGACUGAGACACGGCCCAGACUCCUACGGGAGGCAGCAGUGGGGAAUAUUGCACAAUGGGCGCAAGCCUGAUGCAGCAACGCCGCGUGCGGGAUGACGGCCUUCGGGUUGUAAACCGCUUUUAGUAGGGAAGAAGCCUUCGGGUGACGGUACCUGCAGAAAAAGGACCGGCUAACUACGUGCCAGCAGCCGCCGUAACAC
rnacentral:rRNA from 1 species